GGCCAAACGCAAAAGCUCCGGAGCGUGUUGUCAUAAUUGUGUCUGCAAAAGCUCGCUUGAUUUCAUUCCACGAUUGAUUUGAUUUGCUUUGCUUUUGCUAUUCGCGAUGUGCCGUGGAUAAUGACUCGCAUUCCCAGAUGCAAUUGACCCACUGAACGAGCCCGCUGCCCCGCUGCCCAGCUGCACUGCAUCCAUUACAGCAACUCCACGGUGAAAUCCAGGCAAGACCCGAGAAUCGCCCCCCAAAUCAGCCAGGCACCAUGUCAACGGAGAGCAACACGCCCGUGGAUCCGAGGGUCCAGGUGGAGCUGGAGAAGCUGAACUCCGCCACGGACAACAUCAACCGAUACGAAGUGGAGCUCGAUGAGGCCAAGUGCGAGUUCAAGCGUUUGCUGGCCGAAAGUGUGGUGAGGAUCAAGGGGGCCGCCCACAAGCUGGGCAACUCCAUUGAUGCCGCCAAGCCGUACUACGAAUCUCGCAUCUACGCCGCCCAGCUGGCCAAGGAAACCCAAUUGGCCGCCGCCAGCCACGAGAAGGCCAAGUCCAUUCAUGCCGCCGCCAAGGAGAUGGUCUACCUGGCCGAGCAGGGGCUGGGCGAGAAGUCGACGCUGGACACCGCCUGCCAGGAGAUGCUCAGCCACGCCGCCAGCAAGGUCAAUCAGUCCCAGCUGGAGGUCACCGACACCCGAAACGCGCUCAAGAUGUGCCAGCUGAAGCUCGAGGUGGCCAACAACCGGGUCGGCAAGCUCCAGGGUCAGCUGAAGCAAGCGCUCCGGGCAUCCAGAUUGCAGCUCAAGCGCAAUUUACUUUUGUUGAGAUAUUUUAGCAUUAUGCACGCUUUGUAUUGUACCCUCUGUUCGCCGUACUACGAGACCCGGGCGAACUACAAUGGACUGCUGAAGGCCCAAAAGACGCGCGUCAACGAGCUGGAGGCGAAGGUCAGUGCGGCGAAGCUAACGUACAACGAGGCGCUGAAGAAUCUGGAGCAGAUUUCGGAGGACAUUCACCGUCAGCGCCAGCAGCGGAAUAACCUGCUCAACUACGAGGCCAUGCUGCGUCAGGUGGACGCCGUGGACACGUUGACGGCGGGUCUGGAGAGGAGUUCAUGCGGAACUGCUGCCGAUCGACAGGAUCUCGAGGCGAAGGCAGCCGCCGAGGAGCAGGAGCACGCGGAGGAGGAGGAGGAGGAGUACCUGCGCAUGCCCGAGCGUCUGGGCCACCACGAGUGCCCCCACCUGCUGACCGAUUUCGAGGCGGUGCUCACCUUCCCGCAGAAACUGGCCGGCGGCAUGCACAAGUCGGCCAGCACAGGUGCUGCGGCGGAUGGGGAAGCCGGAUUGGGACCGCUGGGCCUGCACGCUCCCUACGAGGUGAAGUCGGGCAGCGGAUCUCUGGCCUCGGGAUCCGCUUCCGUCUCGACUUCGGCUGGCGGUGCUCCGGCGGACAACGACAUUGAGCAGUGGACGGAGAUCCGGCUAUCGCAUUCGGAUAGCACCAGUUCCAGCUACUCCAAUCAGUCGCUGCUCGAGCAGCAGGGCCUGGAUUCCACGGGCGGCAUGUCCGGCGGCCUGGGCCUCGGCCUGGCCAGGAAUCAUCUCGAUCCGGAUGCCCAGUCCCAGCACUCGACCUCGUCGUCCGAUGAGCCCAAGCGCAAGGUCACCUGCACGACGAUAUUCCAGGACGAUAGCAGUGCAUCCAGCGGCGGUGGCCAGCAGAUGAGCCGCAAGCAGAGCCUCAGCCAGUGGCUGUCCCGCUCGAACAGCUUCAAGGGCAGCGGUCGGCGCCAGAGCCUGGAUCUGCUAAUCGAUGCCGGCGACAAGGUGAAGGAUGUGUUUAGCUACGGCUUCCAGAAGGUGGGACGCAGCCUGGAGCGCCGCAACAGCGAAUCGGAGAUGUCCGGCGAUUGUGCAGCCGAAGGAGAUGCACUGCUCGGCGGCACAACGGACUCACUGGCGCUGAGCGGUGGCGGAGCAAGCGGCGGAACCGGCGGUGGAUCCGGUGCAGCAGGUGGAGGUGGAUCCGGUUCAGGAUCUGGCGGCGGUGCCGGUGAUUUUUUCCUCUUCAGCAGGUCAGUAGACGGUAAUGGGGUAAAGGGUGGCGGUCGUAGUCUGCUCAACUCGCUGCACAGCCGCCUCGCCAAGCUCAUUUGAACUCAGAACUCAGAAAUCGGAUUUCGAUUCCGAAACCGAAUUUGAAUUUGAAAAAAAAAAAUUAUAUAUAUACAUAUGUAUACCCGAACCGAAACAGCGAUGAUCAGCGCAAUUUUUGCACCCAUCUAAUCCAACCAACUACAAAAAUGAACCAACCAACUGCAAAAUUUACCAAUAGUACUCAAAUUACUAAUUACUAAUAUGAACGAAUUGGCUGCUUUGAUUUGGUCUCUGCUUUUGCUACUUUCAAUCUCACAAAUAUAUCUUUCAAAAAAACUAACUGCAACAACUACAACAUCAACUACAACAACAGCAACAACAAGAACAACAACAACAGCACGAACGCACACUCGCUUUAACCUCAAAUUCUAUCUUCAGAGCCAAAAGAGUUACUGUCCGAUGAGCAGGUUGAGAAUUUACUAUUAAAUCACUUGGUGGAUGAGAAUGGUGCCAUU
rnacentral:misc_RNA from 1 species